GCUGAGGCAGAAGAAUUGCUUGAACCCAGGAGGCGGAGGUUGCGGUGAGCCCAGAUCACACCACUGCACUCUAACCUGGCGACAGAGCGAGACUCUGUCUCCCAAAAAAAUAAAAAUAAAAUAAAAUAAAAAAUAAAAAUCCCAGCUACACAGGAGGCUGAGGCAGGAGAAUCACUUGAAACCAGGAGGCAGAGGCGGAGGUGGAGGUUGCAGUGAGCCAAGAUUGCACCAUUGCACUCCAGCCUGGGCAACAAGAGUGAAAUGCCAUCUCAAAAAUAAAAAAAAAAAAGAAAAAAUUUUUUAAAAUAUAGCUGGUGAUGUGCACCUGUAGUCUCAGCUACUUGGGAGGCUGAGGUUCAAGGAUUGCUUGAACCCAGGAGGUCGAGGCUGCAGUGAGCCAUGAUCACACCACCACACUCCAGCCUGGGCAGCAGAGCAAGACCCUGUCUCUAAAAAAAGAAAUAGUAAGAACAAUUGCUUGCUGAGUGCCUGUCUAUGAUGGUAGCAUCUGAUGCAAAUUAAAAAGUCAGAUGCUCAGCAGGACUUAUGGAGCCUUUGCUCAGCUCCAAAUAUAUCAUUAGUUACAAUAUGGAGAGCAAGUAACAUGGCUAACAGCAAUUUCACACCAGCACAUAACUGUUUCAUGACAAGUUAUCAGAGGCAGUAGCAUUCAGCAGUUCAUGUGGAGGACUGCCUCAGUCAGCCUGGGCUACUAUAACAAAAAUACCAUAGACUGGACAGCCUAACCAUUAAAAAAUUUUUUUGAGACAUGGUCUCACUCUAUCACCCAGGCUGGAGUGCCGUGGCAUGAUCAUAGCUCACUGCAGCCUCCAUCUCCCAGGCUCAAAUGAUCCUCCCGCCUCAGCCUCCUGAGUAGCUGGGACUGUAGGCACAAGCAACCACACCCAGCUAAUUUUUUCUAUCUAUCUUUUUUUUUUUUUUUUUUUUUUGUAGAGAAGGGGUCUUUUUGCUCAGGCUGGUCUUGAACUCCUGGGCUCAAGUGAUCCUCCCACCUUGGUCUCCCAAAGUGCUGGGAAUCCAGGCAGGAGCUCAAACAUUUAUUUCUCACGGUUCUGCAGUUAGGAAGUCCAAGAUCUGAUGUCCAGUGGGCCCCACUUCCUGGUUUGCAGACAGCUCCUUUCUUGCUGGGUCCUCACAUGGCUGAGAGGGGAGAGCGAGUUCUUUGGUGCUUUGUCUUAUCAGGGAACUAAUACAAUGAUCUACUAGUGGGGGGAACUAAUGCCAUCAUGAAGGCAACUGCAGGAGCCCACAGGGAGCCUCCGUGGCGUUUGGCUGUGAUCAAAUGCCAGCUGCUGUGCCACUCUCACCUUGCCCAACUCCAGGGGGACACCAGAUCCAAUGUCAAUCGUCCCUUAUCCCGUCCCCACAGUGGAGAGCCCUGGUGGAAGGGAUGCAAGUUUAGUUCAUCAAGUACCAGAAAACCCAACUGAAAACGGUCCAAACAAUGCUGAAAUGUUUCUGUCCAUAUCAUCACUGGGAUCUGGAUGUUGGAGCAGUUUUGAGGUUACUCUACUCCAUCUGUAUACUGGAAAUUAUCUUCCCAACUCCAAGUUCAGAUACUCCGCAUUGGUUCAGAUACUCCACUUUGCAGCUUGCAACAACUAUUGCAGAGAUAUUUACACUGUGAAAAUCUGAAAAUGCUACAAUUCAGGGCUUGGAGGCAAAAUCUGGCUCUUGCUUGAGCUAAAAAAUUUUUUUUUACAUUGUUAAAGGGUGGUUAAAACAAAACAAAGCAAAACAAAAGAGACUGUGCCAAAGACUGUACGUGUCUGGAAAAGUGGAAAAUACUUACCAUCUGACUCUGCAGAAUCCAUUUGCCAAACCCUAGACAUAAGUAAUACAGAAAAUUAACAAUGUGGUUAAACUUCAAAUUCUGUGAUGUCUGCAGCCAUUAUAUUGUGAAUAGCACAAAAUGUUGAGGAACUAUUCACCCAGUAAUAGAAAACCAUGCUCCAAUACAGCAAAGAAGUUGCUGACAUCAUUGAGGAACAAAUAAAGUUCGGAUCUAUAUGUGUUUUGCUUCAUUUCUUACUUGUUAAUAUAAGUGAAAAUAUCAACACUCCUGUCAAACAUUACAUUUAUUUUACUUUUUUUUUUUUUUGAGACAGGGUCUCACUGUUGCCCAGGAUGAAGCACAGUGGUGUGAUCAUGGCUCACCACAGCCUCCAACUCCUGGGCUCAAGCAAUCCUUCAGCCUCAGCAUCCCAAAUAGCUGAGACCACAGGUGCAUGCUACCAUGCUUUG
rnacentral:lncRNA from 10 species